UCAUACAAGAAACCCAAAUCAAUAACCAUCGGCGUAAAGAGUGGUUACAUGUUAUCCCAACCAGCUAAGACUAAAGUGCAACUAAGCUGUCAUAAGCCUAAGAUACACAUAAACUCCAACCCCAAAACCAUCUUAGCUUCAACGACCAAUUUUAACCCACGAAAGCCAGGACACAAACUGGGAUUAGAUACCCCACUAUGCCUAGCCCUAAAUCCAGAUACCCCCCCUCAUACCCACGUAUCCGCCUGAGAACUACGAGCACAAACGCUUAAAACUCUAAGGACUUGGCGGUGCCCCAAACCCACCUAGAGGAGCCUGUUCUAUAACCGAUAAUCCACGAUCCACCCAACCACCUCUUGCCAGUACAGCCUACAUACCGCCGUCGCCAGCCCACCUCCCAUGAAAGCACAAUAGUGAGCUCAAUAGCCUCGCUAACAAGACAGGUCAAGGUAUAGCUUAUGAGGUGGAAGAAAUGGGCUACAUUCUCUAAUAUAGAGCAUUAACGAAAAAGGACGUGAAAUCCGCCCUUAGAAGGAGGAUUUAGCAGUAAAGUAGGACCAUAUCCAAAGCCUACUUUAAGCUGGCCCUGAGGCACGUACAUACCGCCCGUCACCCUCUUCGCAAGCCACUUACACUAAUAAAUAAUACUCCAUUAACCUAACAAGGCUAAAGAUGAGGUAAGUCGUAACAA
rnacentral:rRNA from 1 species